GGUCCGGUUUUGAUUCCCGGCGAACAAUGCAGCCGGCAGCGACACAGAAAUGUCCGAAGCGUGUGUGACAACGCUCUGUCACGACGAGACGCCAUCGCGAGGUCAGGUUAAUACGGCAUAAUUGUUGUGCACGGACGCGAACGUUGACUACAAGAACCUGCACCAAAGAGUCCAAAGAUAUAUAUCUUGCAAAAGAAAUGCAGUUGCAGAGGACUUGGAGUUUACACUUACUUGUGACGCGUUUGUGACUUAGCCUUCGUGACCACUUACGCGAAAUCUAAACGCGAAUCUAAAAUUUCCUUCAUACUGAAGUAGCUUUAAAACUUUUAACUAUACGUAUACUCUGUUUCCCGUAAAGAAACGAGGAGAACGAAAUAUUAAUUAAACUAUCAGCAGAACUGAAUACGCUCAAAUACUAACGUAAUAUAUGAAGAGCAGUCAGAGGUAACACAGAAUCUACAUUACCUCUAAAAGCAAGAUACCUAAAAGCAUCUCUCCAAACUUAAUAUCCAAACCUGAACGUGUACAUUUACCUUGCAAGUGAUGCAGGAAACGUUCCGGAAAUAUUAAAAUGAUGCGUGAAGCUGGAAAGUUGGGAAACUCAGGAUCUGAAUCAAGAGUACAGCCAUAUCCACAAGCGUUAUUUAACGGAGUGUGAACAGCGCGUCUCUCAAGCUGCAUCAUGCUACCGUUUAAUAUUAAUGAAAAUUAUUUGCAUAAAUUUAACGACACUCGGACCGAUGUACUGGGCGCUGCCGCUGGUUCAUAAUCCUGUUGGUUUUUGCUCUCCGUGAAACAUCCUCCACGGACUCCAGCCGCAUGUAUCGUGAUAAUGGCAACGUCGAACCGGUCCCACCCGUAAUAAUAAUUAAACGAAAGUUAAAUGAGAAAUCUCAAAUUUCACGCACACACAACGUAUGCCUGACGAUAACGGAAAGUUGUCGGGGCGAUGUCGGGACAUAGGACGGCCGCGAAACUAGUUUCGAACCUGUCAUGCGGUUUGCCUGCGGGUCAAUUUCCGUAUGCUCCUCAUCAUCGCGCGAAAAUAACGGGAAAUUAAUAUUCGUAUUUUUCGGACUUCAUCAUGUAUUCUGAAUUCCGAUUCUAUGUAAGCCAAUAGUCUGAACAAAAAUUUGAUGGAACUUGUUUGAAGAUGUAUCGCAAACUUUACUAUCGAAGAAAUUAUGAGAAAUUACUUCUCACGAAAAAGUAAGUCCUGCAAAAUAUAUGUUCUUCUGCCAAACUUAAUUUUCCAGAAAACUUCAGCCCAAUCUCAGUUCGACUACCGACUUUGGGCAAUCUCGCUUAUCUUGUCGUUGCUAUAUUCAUUCAUUACUUUCGCUUGCCACCCGAACCGAUAGCAAAUAAGUAAAACGGCCAUUACGCUGUUUGUUCUAAUGAAACUCGUACGGAGGUUUAAUUCAAGGAACGUACCAACCGUCUAACACUUUUUCUCGACUGCUAAUUUAAAAAAGGGGUGAAAGUAAUGAAGCGUCGCGGGACCAUUUUGCGUUAUUAAUGGCCACUUCGUCACGUCGGUAAUUUUCCCUCCACCUACAGACACCCUCCUUUUUCCCGUGACCAGGUACCACUCUACAUAUUGCAAGAGUUUCAUUAAAUCGCGCGACUAACUGCUGCGUGACCGAGUUUUUAAAUUCAUCUCGCUCGCCCGGCGGCGCAGACAGUAAUUUGCGUAAAUGAUAUUUGAAAAUAAUUGGAUUAUUUUUGUCGAUAACGAAGAUUUAUGUUUGCACCACUUUGAUUUUGACACACGACAGUUUUCUCUUUUAUUGGAUGAAUUUUAUUAAAAAUAUACACGCACACUCGCUAUAAAAUAUAAAAUCUGAUAUACUUUUACGAGCUUAAAAAUUACAAAAGAUGUAAAGGUACACAUAUCCGACGCGAAAUUACCUUGGCGAACAUUCUCGAAUGAGAAUUUUUGAAAUUUCCACUCUGCAAAGGCUAAGAAUACGUCAUGCAAAAGAUUCUACCGGCUAAGUGCGGCCAUUCCUCCCUCCGGUGGAUUUUUCUCCAUCAGAGCUCAACAGCUCUUGUUAUUUGUCGUUAGCGCUUGUUUGUUCGUCGCUCGAAAACCGUUCGCUCGCUGCUGCAACUGUGCGAUCUCUUGUCGCGAAAAAAAAACCGUUGUCACGUCCCAUUCGCAAUUUUCCUCUCCGAGCGCAUUGGCCGGUUACGUGCUUCGAGGCUUACGCGUACACAAGCCGAUUUGAGCCGUGUGACAUGCGAGCGUGUAGCGCAGAAACUAAGCGAGGCUUUACACAGGAUGAAUGGCUCUAUCAAUCUAUAUCCCGUUUUGAUAAUUGCGGAUAAAAACUCUGAUCGAAUCGAUGGCUUUUUAUUGAAUUUACGUCACAGCUUUACAUUCUCAAGCAAGUAUCGAACUAAUAAGAAUAUAACGCAUAUCACUAACGGUUAAAAUAUUUUUUAAGACGUCAUAUCGACUUUGUUUUCCUAACUUUGGCUACCAUGAUGGCUCGUAUAUCCAUUUACGUGUAUUUAUAUUGCCUUUUUUUAUUCUGUCGUGCGCAAUAUUUAGCCAUGCAAACAAACAACAACAGUACAGCGAAAUAUUACUGUCGCAAUAAAUUUAAUUAAUACAAAUAUACCUGAAAUUGUUUACUGAUUCGAUAAUUUUUUAAUUAGCUUAAAACACAAUGAAAUCCAUAACAAGGACAAAAGUACGAGUAGAAUUUAACGAAUUUUUGUGAUAUCAUUGGCAUGAGAUCAUACAAUUUUACAUCCGACGAUUUUACAUGUAUUAAUUUUUUUUUUAAUAUCAAUGUGCUUCAAAUAGAAUAAAACAUGACACAAUUUAUCAAUA